rnacentral:rRNA from 1 species
GACGAACGCUGGCGGCGUGCUUAACACAUGCAAGUCGAACGGAAAGGCCCUGCUUUUGUGGGGUGCUCGAGUGGCGAACGGGUGAGUAACACGUGAGUAACCUGCCCUUGACUUUGGGAUAACUUCAGGAAACUGGGGCUAAUACCGGAUAGGAGCUCCUUCUGCAUGGUGUGGGUUGGAAAGUUUCGGUGGUUGGGGAUGGACUCGCGGCUUAUCAGCUUGUUGGUGGGGUAGUGGCUUACCAAGGCUUUGACGGGUAGCCGGCCUGAGAGGGUGACCGGCCACAUUGGGACUGAGAUAGGGCCCAGACUCCUACGGGAGGCAGCAGUGGGGAAUAUUGCACAAUGGGCGGAAGCCUGAUGCAGCAACGCCGCGUGCGGGAUGACGGCCUUCGGGUUGUAAACCGCGUUCGCCUGUGACGAAGCGUGAGUGACGGUAAUGGGUAAAGAAGCACCGGCUAACUACGUG